UACAUGUGGGGCAAGCGUUGUUCGGAAUUACUGGGCAUAAAGGGUGCGUAGGCGGAUCGAUCAGUCAGGGGUGAAAUCCCAGAGCUCAACUCUGGAACUGCCUUUGAUACUGUCGAUCUGGAGUAUGGAAGAGGUGAGUGGAAUUCCGAGUGUAGAGGUGAAAUUCGUAGAUAUUCGGAGGAACACCAGUGGCGAAGGCGGCUCACUGGUCCAUUACUGACGCUGAGGUGCGAAAGCGUGGGGAGCAAACAGG
rnacentral:rRNA from 1 species